GUGGGGAAUCUUAGACAAUGGGGGAAACCCUGAUCUAGCCAUGCCGCGUGAUCGAUGAAGGCCUUAGGGUUGUAAAGAUCUUUCAGCUGGGAAGAUAAUGACGGUACCAGCAGAAGAAGCCCCGGCUAACUCCGUGCCAGCAGCCGCGGUAAUACGGAGGGGGCUAGCGUUGUUCGGAAUUACUGGACGUAAAGCGCACGUAGGCGGAUUGGAAAGUUGGGGGUGAAAUCCCGGGGCUCAACCCCGGAACUGCCUUCAAAACUAUCAGUCUGGAGUUCGAGAGAGGUGAGUGGAAUUCCGAGUGUAGAGGUGAAAUUCGUAGAUAUUCGGAGGAACACCAGUGGCGAAGGCGGCUCACUGGCUCGAUACUGACGCUGAGGUGCGAAAGCGUGGGGAGCAAACAGGAUUAGAUACCCUAGUAGUCC
rnacentral:rRNA from 1 species